rnacentral:rRNA from 1 species
UACGAAGGGGGGCUAGCGUUGCUCGGAAUCACUGGGCGUAAAGAGCUCGUAGGCGGCUCAGUAAGUCAGAUGUGAAAAACUCAGGGCUCAACCCGGAGACGCCAUCUGAUACUGCUGUGGCUUGAGUCUGGUAGGGGAUCACGGAAUUCCUGGUGUAGCGGUGAAAUGCGCAGAUAUCAGGAGGAACACCGAUGGCGAAGGCAGCCCCCUGGGUCAAAACUGACGCUCAUGCCACGAAAGCGUGGGGAGCAAACAGG